rnacentral:lncRNA from 1 species
CACCUUGAAACUGGAGGAGGCAUAUCUUCUGGGACCACACAGAAGCCAAGGGACAGAGAGAAGCUUUCGUGCCCAGAUCUGGGUGGAGAAAGAAGUGAGAGAGGGGGUGAGUGGGGCACAGCAGGGGCCCUGGCAGCUCGCUCGCCACCUCCUGCACUUGGAGGUCCCACUGGCCUGCCUGUUCUGUCCCAGUUUCAGUCCAUUCUAGACGGGGCAGGUGGUCCUGAAGGAGGCCAAGUCCCCUCCCUGCCCUGACGAGGGCUCGCUGGAAAGAGCUGAGUCAGCUCCCGCCCCCUCCUCCAUGCUGCGGCAAAGUCAAACGCAAGCGCCUCCCACCCCAGAGACCUUUGGUCGCAGCCUGGAGAUCAGCUCAGACAAGAAAACAACCAGGGAAGGCACACAGCCCUGUGGGGAGGCGUUGGGGCGUGAGGUUGAGAGAGACAGAGUGGCCUGGCCUGGCCUGCCCUGUGAGCUGGGUGAGUUGGCACUGAUUCUGGAAGAUGGACGUGAAUGGGCGUGGUCACUUGUCGCUAGACUCUGGGAAACGCUGCUGCUGUUUGACAUCGCACAGUCAGAAGGGAUCGUCUCAGCCAGCCUGCAGCAUCUGUCACUUUGACCAUGAGACGCUGCCUCGAUUUCCAAUCCAGGUGCAAAGCUUCAGAUAGGAGUUUGGGAAGCACAGCAAUCCCCAUCUCUUAUUUUUUUCAACUUUCAUUCCAAGAAAAUAGGACCUUGAGUCCAAUUCCCAGAGCUGAGACUUGAGGUCCAACUCUGCCUUCACCUGCACCCGGCCCUGGAGGUCUGGGCCCCUUUAUUCCAGCUCCCGCACAGGCUGAUGCCCCACCGCACCCCAGGGCUCCGCUCCCCAAAUCACAACCUCCCCACCCCCACGCCUCCCUCAUUACAGGGUCCUCCACCAUGUUUCCCUUUUUUUUUUUUUUUUUACCUCCCCGCCAAUUACUUGCCCCACCUCAUCCGCGUCUACCUGCUCCCCCUCACCCCAUUAAAGCCUCGUGCUCCUUUCCAAAGGGCGCCAUCCUCCUCCGCGCCCUGCAGCGGAACCCCAGGGCGGGAGGAGCGGCGCCGAGUCGGACCGGCUGCAGGCCAGUGGUCUUCCCGGAAGUGCGCCUCCCCCGGUUAUUUCCCAGACCCCGGCGCGGGGCUGCGAACCCACCUGCCCCAGAGCGGCUGCGGCCAUGAUCCGUGCGGCGCGUAACUGUGCCCGCCCGGGGCGCGGCUCCGAAGAGAGACGUUCCGGCCACGCCCCGCUCACGCCUCCUUCUGGGGGAAGGCGGCCGACCAGCGCCCCAGGCCGUCCCAGCUCCAGGGCGUCGGCAGGGAGCCGGACACUGCUGCGGGGCGCAGGCGCUGGUGGGAGGGCAGGACUUGAAAUACGGUCCCUGCCAGGCGAAGUGGCUCAGGUCUGUAAUCUUAGCACUUUGGGAGGCCGAAGCGGGCGGAUUACCUGAGGUCAGGAGUUAGAGACCAGCCUGGUCCAACAUGAUGAAACCCCGUCUCUACUAAAAAUACAAAAAAUUAGCCGGGCGUGGUGGCGGGCGCCUGUAAUCUUAGCUACUCGGAAAGCUGAGGCAGGAGAAUUGCUUGAAUCGGGGAGGCAGAGGUUGCAGUGAGCCGAGAUGAUGCCACUGCACUCCAGCCUGGGCGACAGAGUGAGACUCCGUCUCAAAAAAAAAAAAAAAAAAAAGUCCUGGCUUGGUGGCUCACACCUGUAAUCCCAGCACUUUGGGGGCCAAGGCGGGUGGAUCACCUGAGGCCAGGAGUUCAAGACCAGCCUGGCCGACAUGGGGAAACCCCGUCUCUACUAAAAAUACAAAAAUUAAGGCCAGGCACGGUGGCUUACGCCUGUAAUCCCAGCACUUUGGGAGGCCGAGGUGGGCGGAUCACAAGGUCAGGAGUUCAAGACCCGCCUGACCAACAUGGUGAAACCCCGUCUCUACUAAAGAUACAAAAAUUAGCCGGGUGUGGUGGUGUGCGCCUGUAAUCCCAGCUACUAGGGAGGCUGAGGCAGGAGAAUCAUUUGAACCCUGGAGGCGGACGUUGCGGUGAGCCGAGAUCGCGCCACUGCAUUUCCAGCCUGGGUGACAGGGUGAGACUCCGUCUCAAAAUAAAUAAAUAAAUAAAAAUAAAUACAUAAAAAUACAAAAAUUAGUCGAGCGUGGUGCCGGGGGCCUGUAAUCCCAGCUAUUCGGGAGGCUGAGGCAGGAGAAUCGCUUGAACCCGGGAGGCGGAGGUUGCAGUGAGCCGACAUUGCACCACAGCACUCCAGCCUGGGCGACAGAGUGAGACUCCGUCUCAAAUUAAAAAAAAAAAAAAAAAAUCGUAUCCCUCGGCCAUCGUGUCUCGGCAAUCCUACCCUGGGACACUCUGUCUCCAAAUUCUACCCCCACAGUGCCCCCAAGUCCUGUCCCCGGGUCACUAUCCUGCCACCCCUAACAGCCACAGGCCCAAACAGCCAAACCGCGGGACCCUUCCCUCACAGGGCGUCGCCCUGUUUUUCUGCGCUCCGCCCCAGUCCUCCUGCCCCACCCGCCAGCCCCGGGCUGUAGGGUCGGGGCCCACUGACAGCUCCCGCCCCCGCCGCGGCCAAUCAGCGGUUGGUGCACACGCCCCCCCGGCCACAGCCAAUCCGCAGCAGCCCUGCAGCUCCACCCCUCACCUGGGGGACGCCAGCGCACCCGGGCCCUGCCCCCCCCCUGGGUCCAGCUGGGGAGUCUGCGUCCCCCAGUGCCCUGCGGACCAAAACCCAGGAGUUUCAGCCCCUCCUCCCUCUGAUCCAGAUGUCUCAACCCCCUACUUUCUCUUCCCUUUGGACUUUUCUUGCCAGCCACCUUCCUAUUCUACAGGCAGUGAGAGGAAAACUCCUUUUCCCUGAGGGCCAAGAGUAAGAGGGCCUUCUGCGUCUCCCCCUCCAUUACCUCCUAAUUAGCGCUUAAUUUACUCUCCCCUGCGGGCCUUUAGUUAGCGCGCUGGUGAAGCCAAACCGCUCUACCCUUCCCAGGAGCCCCUGGCGACAGCGACAGGGCUAGCAACAUCAGGCACCUGCUUGCUGCAAGGCCUGGGGUUGGGGGGCGGGGGGAGCUGCAGUCCUUCAGGGUCGAGGCAACUUGUGGGUCUGGGGUGCAAGGGCUAAGUGGGGCAGAAGGACUCGUCUAAAGGAUGGGAAAUAAAUAUAACGAUAUCCUCCUCCUUCUGGCUGCAAAUCGUUUUUAUGGGAACCUGCAGGGUGACCCGGCACCUUGCUAACUGGGCUUAGAGUCUAAGGGCUUGGGGGCUGCAUCUGAUACAGGUUGGAGUUUGGGGUGGGAGAGUCCUAGGAAGGGGGCCCCAAGUAGAAAUGAGAGAAAUCAGGAAGGGAUAUCGGGGGCGUCCACGGGGGUGCUCCGACUGGCCUUGCACCCGUACCCCAGCUCUGCACCCCCCGUCACGAGCAGUUCAAUGCCCGUGCAGAAGUUGGCUUCGGAGGCCAGGAACACUGCCGCAGCCCCGACCUCAGCGGGCUGGCCCAUGCGGCCCAGUGGCUGGGGAGAAAAGAGGGGGGAAGGAGGUCAAGAGGAGCCCCACUUGAUCGCCAUGCCCCCCACCCCCAUGCCACCUUCUACCACCUGGAUCUGAACCCCACUUCUACCUGGGCCAGCAUGCCCUCUCGGAUUGUGGCCCUAGGGUCUGGCAUUAAGGCUGCCAGCUCCUCCCACAGCGGGGUCCAGAUGUUUCCUGGGGAGAUACUA